rnacentral:rRNA from 1 species
CAGUAGCCACGGUAAUACGAAGGGGGCUAGCGUUGUUCGGAUUUACUGGGCGUAAAGCGCACGUAGGCGGAUCGAUCAGUCAGGGGUGAAAUCCUGGAGCUCAACUCCAGAACUGCCUUUGAUACUGUCGAUCUCGAGUUCGGAAGAGGUGAGCGGAACUCCUAGUGUAGAGGUGGAAUUCGUAGAUAUUAGGAAGAACACCAGUGGCGUAGGCGGCUCACCGGUCCGGUACUGACGCUGAGGUGCGAAAGCGUGGGGAGCAAACAGGAUUAGAUACCCCAGUAGUCCCUGUCUCUUAUAC